AGGCCAAACAAUUAGUCAAGGAUGAGCUAACGUGUAGCCAUCCCAAACGCUUCUUCUUCUUUCCAAGCAUCACAUGGUGGGGGAGCCAAGGGAAUCAGAUUCUGUCCAUAAAUGUUGGGGUGAUGUGGGUAGUCUAGGGGGUGUGAGUAAGCAUUCUAAAUCAGAAGAGGUAAUGAUGGGCUUAGAGGGAGUAUUCCUAACUCUCACUGAAGAAUUAGAGGAGAGUGUGAGGUUUUGGAAAGGGAAAAGUAGGAAAUCGGAAGAGGGAAGCUGAGAGGGUGUUGGUGUAUUCUUCAAUUUGUACAAAAGGCCUGGGAGCGACUCCGGACACUUCGGAGGCUUAGAGAGGUAUUAUAGUUAGCUGGACAAGAGCUAUUGCAGGUACCGGUAUGGCAGAACAAGAUGAUGACCUGUCUUUAUAUGAAUAAACAUAUCCUAUGUGUGCUGGUUUCCUAGUUGUACUUUAAAUUAAGUGUUCUAGUAUCUCAUGAGUGUGUUGUAAGAGUUGAACUCUUUAAACUCAUAAUGUAUUAAUUAAACAGGUCUAAGUGAACUUUUAGUUGGCUCUGGUUCCAUCAUACUCUCGUUGUAAUAUUUUAAUUUAUUUUAAAUUCUAUUCACACCCUAAUUCGAUUAUCAUUCUUAUUUUCGAAUUUGGGGUGUGACAGUUUGGGUACAAA